GGUGAACGCUGGCGGCGCGCCUAAUGCAUGCAAGUCGAGCGUGCCCCGGUGGUUUCGGCCAUCGGGGAAAGCGGCAAACGGCUGAGUAACGCGUGAGUAACCUACCCUCUGGUGGGGUAUAGCCCCGAGAAAUCGAGGUUAAUCCCGCAUAAGACCUCUAGGCCCUGGUCUAGAGAUGAAAGCCGCAAGGCGCCGGAGGAGGGGCCCGCGUCCUAUCAGGUAGUUGGUGAGGUAACGGCUCACCAAGCCGAAGACGGGUAGCUGGUCUGAGAGGAUGGCCAGCCAGAGGGGGACUGAGACACGGCCCCCACUCCUACGGGAGGCAGCAGCAGGGAAUCUUGGACAAUGGGCGAAAGCCUGACCCAGCGACGCCGCGUGGAGGAAGAAGGCCUUCGGGUUGUAAACUCCUUUUCUGAGGGAUGAGUAAGGACAGUACCUCGGGAAUAAGCCCCGGCUAACUACGUGC
rnacentral:rRNA from 1 species